CUUGGGGUUCGCAGGAGAAUCUAGCGGCCGGGAGCAAGUGGUGGCGGGCAGGGCCGGCUCCAGGCACCGGCCUACCAAGCACGUGCUUGGGGCGGCACCUUGGGAGGGGGCGACGAUCGGGGAACCGUCCCUGGUAUCUGGAUACAGAACAGGGAUGGGGCUACGACAGGUCAUGACGGCCCCUCCGAACAGAACCAGCGACGAGCCUGACGAGCGUGGGGACAGGCUGGUUAUUGCUACUAAGCAGAUAAGUGACUUCCCUCGCUUGGCAUGAAGGGAGCCCCUUAGUUUGGGUCACAGCCGAACGCCGCCAGGGAGGGGGCGGGCAGAGCCCUGGUAUAACAGAACGCACUAAGAUAGAAGGAUUUACCUGCGUCCGCACACCUUGUCCGUUCCCACAGCCACCCCACCCGCCUGCCCUGCCGCCAGUGCCACCCAGCCUGCCCCAGGCCCGUCCCCCUAACUCCUGCCCCACUGGGCCCAGCCCAGCUGCCCCUGACCCCCGCUGGGCACAGUUGUCUAGCCCACUAUGCCUCGGGCAUCCCCCUUCACGGAGACGAGACCACAGGAUUCUCCCCAGGCCCUUCCCCCCGCGAGUCCCUCUGCAUGUGGCAGUGCCCGGGCACCCUGUACCUGCUGCCAUUCCAGCUUCUUUGCCAGUCUCCUCUGUGCUGCUGGGUCGUCCACCUGCACGUGCUCCGGCACCCGCUUCACCGCUAGCAGGAGCAAGGAGAAUGGGCUGAGCUGGGGGCUAGGGCAUGACCCCAACACAGAGCCACCCAGGCUCCGGGGGAGGGGUGGGGAGAAUAAAGAGCCUGGGGACCCGGGAAGGGGGUGGGGGAUGAGGGCAAAAGCACAAUCACAGCGACCUGGGCACAGGGGAGAUGGGGCAGAACCACCCAGGUGCUGCUGAGUCAGACACAUACCCCACCCCCCCUCCACCGGCUCACCCAGAGGGCGCUGAGUCAGACACCCCCCCGCCGGCUCAUCCAGGGGGUGCUGAGUCGGACCCCCACCAGCUCACCCAGCCCCACCCAGGGGGCACUGCCCCAGGCCACCCACCGGCUCACCCAGCCCCACCCAGGGGGCACUGCCCCGGGCCACCCGCCGGCUCACCCUGCCCCACCCAGGGGGUGCUGCCCCAGGGCACCCACCGGCUCACCCAGCCCCGCCCAGAGGGCGCUGUCCCAGGCUACCCGCCGGCUCACCCAGUCCCAUCCAGGGGGUGCUGCCCUGACCCCCGCUGGCUCAUCCAGGGGGUGCUGAGUCAGACCCCCACCAGCUCACCCAGCCCCACCCAGGGCGCACUGCCCCAGGCCACCCACCAGCUCACCCAGCCCCACCCAGGGGACACUGCCCUGACCCCCGCCGGCUCACCCAGCCCCACCUAGGGGGCGCUGACCCAGGCUACCCGCCGGCUCACCCAGCCCCACCCAAGGGUGCUGCCCUGACCCCCGCCGGCUCACCCAGCCCCACCCAGGCGGUGCUGCCCCAGGCCACCCGCCGGCUCACCCAGCCCCGCCCAGAGGGCGCUGCCCCGGGCCACCCGCUGGCUCACCCAGCCCCAUCCAGGGGGCGCUGCCCUGACCCCCGCCGGCUCACCCAGCCCCACCCAGGGGGCGCUGCCCCGGGCCACCUGCCGGCUCACCCAGCCCCACCCACGGGGUGCUGCCCUGACCGCUUUGAGCCCAUAAUCCCAAGGAGGGGAGCAGCCAUGGCAUGGCAGUUCUGUCCUUACUGGACUGGGGCUCGCUGGGCUGCAGCCUGGGCUUGGCCGGCACAGCUGCUGGGGUUGACUCCACUUUCUUGGUUUGUUUCAGAGCGCAGUCGGCCUCCUGCUUGGCCCGGCACUCUGCUCGCAGCUCCGCCUUCCUCUUCCCCCCGCCGGCUUCUCGCUGCCGGCCAGGUCCUCGCUGGGCACUGGGGCCGGCAUGGGGGGCGCAGCCCCUACAAGAGGAGAGACCGGUCACCGUGCGGGAGCUUCCCACACCCCCGGGCUCCAGAGAGCACACGGCCCAUGCUCGAUGUCUUUCUAGAGGCCUUUGAGAACUCACAGAUCGGUAGCCACGUUGGAGUAAAUAUAUCAUGCAUCAGCUGUUUUUGCUCAUGUCUGAGACACAGAUCUCAAGAGGAAAAUCCGGAAAAGGACAAAAUGGAAGCAUGAACCAGCUCAGACUCCCUUAUGGCAGGGGUCAUGGUGUCCGUUUUUACAGGCAGGCGGCUGUAAAAGUUUGUGUUAAACCAGGCGAUUAAUAAAACGUAUUUAAAUAUGUCAAUAUGAAUGUGUCCCCCUUCAUAUUUGUGUUAGUAAAAGACGGUGCCAGUAACAGUCAUGUCUACACCGGCCGCUCUGUUAAAGAAAAUAUAUUACACCCCUGGGGAAGUUGGGAGCUUCGGCGGGUGACCCUUCUUUUUCAAGUGGCCAAAAAGCCUCGUAAAACGCUUACACUUUACAUAAACCGGCUCGAAUACAUUUUAAAAGAAACAAGACCAUUGGGUCAGAUGUGGAUGCGCAAUGGCAGGCAGAUUCGGUGAAGAUGCAUCGGUUCUCCAAAUGCAACAUCGGUUUUAAAUCCAUCUUAACAGUGAUAGACAUUCUAUCCAAAUCUGCCUGGGCCUUAGGCCUAAAAGACCAGACGCAUGGUGAGGUAUCCAAGGCCUUUAAAGCUAUUUUCAGCAAAGGUCGCAUGCCUCAAAAAUUACAAACCGAUCGGGGGAAAGAAUUUUUAAACAAACCUUUAAGCAGAUUGUUAAAGUGGCAUGGAGUUCACCAGUUUGUUACUAAUAAGGAAGUCAAAGCAGGGGUUGUAGAGGAUGUGGAGAUAUUUUACAGCCCAUAUCACCUUUUGCUACAUUGACGUGUUACCUGAGUUUAUAAAGAGUUACAACCAGAGUUUUCACAGAACUCUACGUACCAGACCCGCUGAUGUUAGCCCUUCAAAUUCUCUGAAGGUAUGGAAAACGGUUUACAGAGAUGGUUUUAAAAUAAAACCGGUUGUUGCCUCUUUUAGAAAAGGCGACCAUGUGAGACUAUUUAAAACCAAAAAGCUUUUCAAAAGGUUAUGAACAGAUGUUUACCGAUGAGAUAUUCCUUGGGCAUGCCUAGCCUUGCUCAACACGUGCUUCAACAAGCCCAGACGUGUAUUUUGCAAUGAUUUUCAUAGCCCUAUUACCCAAUAAAGCCCCCCAGGUGAGGGGAUUAAAGACAAUUGAUGUUUGGGGUUUGUUUUUAAAAAAUAAAAAUGACCAAUUCAGAAAAAAGGACACAGAUUAUUAUUUUUUUAAUAAAAAUAAUCGCUUGUGAGGUCCCCUAAAUAAUCCCCCAGAGGGGGAUUCCAGUCACCCUCCCUUUUCACAAAUAUCACGAGUCAGUGUCGUGGUACAGGCACCGCUCUUGCAACCUGUCUAGGAGGUUGUAUAGUUCUAAGCGGGCAUAAGCGGUGGUGAAACAGGCUAUGAAGACGUUGGUAUUGCCAGAGACAGAGUACUGGUCUUUUGCGAGCUUCCAAGACACACAUGCGGUUUCAUCAUCGAUAAACUCGCAGGAUGAAACCUCGUAACUGGGGGAAAACAGGUACUGAAACAGUUUCAGAGGGGUAGCCGUGUUAGUCUGGAUCUGUAAAAGCAGCAAAGAGUCCUGUGGCACCUGAUAGACUAACAGACGUAUUGGAGCAUGAGCUUUCGAGGGUGAAUACCCACUUCGUACCCACUUUCAGGUACUGAAAGCGUUCAUCAGGGUCUCUCACCAUGCAGCUGUUGGAUAGGUUUGUUCUUUGGCCAAAUUUACCCCACAGAGAAUUUAAAAACAGUUUAGCCAUUUGGCGUUUAGGGUUGUCAGUUGGACCGUGUGCUUGAUUGUUUGUUUGAACAGUGUGAAUUGGGAGGCUUUGUUCCAGGUGGGACUUGAGUGGGCCCGACUGCUAUAAAAAGGCAGUCAGCAGCGAACCAGCUGAGCGGCGAACAGCAGAGGCUAACAGAAGGCGUUUGCCUGGGAUCUGUCCAAGAGGAGGUCCGCUAAGUGCUGCAUUGGGGGGCUGUGUUGGUGAGUAUCUGAGGCUUUGGCUACACUUACACUUCAA